AGAGUUUGAUCCUGGCUCAGGACGAACGCUGGCGGCGUGCCUAAUACAUGCAAGUCGAACGAGGUCGACCUUCGGGUCACAUGGCCAAGUGGCGAACGGGUGAGUAACACGUGAGAAACCUGCCCCGAAGACUGGGAUAACCCGAGGAAACUCGGGCUAAUACCGGAUACCCCCACCGGAUCGCAUGGUCUGGUGAGGAAAUGCUCCGGCGCUUCGGGAGGGUCUCGCGGCCUAUCAGCUUGUUGGUGAGGUAACGGCUCACCAAGGCGUCGACGGGUAGCUGGUCUGAGAGGACGAUCAGCCACACUGGGACUGAGACACGGCCCAGACUCCUACGGGAGGCAGCAGUAGGGAAUCUUGCGCAAUGGGCGAAAGCCUGACGCAGCAACGCCGCGUGGGGGAUGACGGCUCUCGGGUUGUAAACCCCUUUCAGCAGGGACGAAAAUGACGGUACCUGCAGAAGAAGCCCCGGCCAACUACGUGCCAGCAGCCGCGGUAACACGUAGGGGGCAAGCGUUGUCCGGAUUUAUUGGGCGUAAAGAGCUCGUAGGCGGUUCGGUAAGUCAGGUGUGAAAACCCGGGGCUCAACCCCGGGACGCCACUUGAUACUGCCGUGACUGGAGUCCGGUAGAGGAGUGUGGAAUUCCCGGUGUAGCGGUGGAAUGCGCAGAUAUCGGGAGGAACACCAACGGCGAAGGCAGCACUCUGGGCCGGUACUGACGCUGAGGAGCGAAAGCAUGGGGAGCGAACAGGAUUAGAUACCCUGGUAGUCCAUGCCGUAAACGUUGGGCACUAGGUGUGGGGCCUUAUCAACGGGUUCCGUGCCGUAGCUAACGCAUUAAGUGCCCCGCCUGGGGAGUACGGCCGCAAGGCUAAAACUCAAAGGAAUUGACGGGGGGCCCGCACAAGCGGU
rnacentral:rRNA from 1 species